GAUGAACGCUAGCGGCAGGCUUAAUACAUGCAAGUCGAGGGGCAGCACAGGGUAGCAAUACCUGGGUGGCGACCGGCAAACGGGUGCGGAACACGUACAGAACCUACCUUCGAGCGGGGGAUAGCCCAGAGAAAUUUGGAUUAAUACCCCAUAGCAUAAUGGAGUGGCAUCACUUUGUUAUUAAAGAUUUAUCACUUGAAGAUGGCUGUGCGUAUGAUUAGGUAGUUGGCGGGGUAACGGCCCACCAAGCCUACGAUCAUUAACUGGUGUGAGAGCACGACCAGUCACACGGGCACGGAGACACGGGCCCGACUCCUACGGGAGGCAGCAGUAAGGAAUAUUGGUCAAUGGACGCAAGUCUGAACCAGCCAUGCCGCGUGGAGGAUGAAGGUCCUCUGGAUUGUAAACUUCUUUUAUCUGGGACGAAAAAAGGGAAUUCUUUCUCGUCUGACGGUACCAGAUGAAUAAGCACCGGCUAACUCCGUGCCAGCCGCCGCCGUAAUAC
rnacentral:rRNA from 1 species